CCCUUAGAUGUUCUGGGCCGCACGCGCGCUACACUGACGAUGGCAACGAGUUUUUCCUUCGCCGAAAGGUGUGGGUAAUCUUUUGAAACAUCGUCGUGCUGGGGAUAGAUCAUUGCAAUUUUUGAUCUUGAACGAGGAAUUCCUAGUAAGCGCGAGUCAUCAGCUCGCGUUGAUUACGUCCCUGCCCUUUGUACACACCGCCCGUCGCUACUACCGAUUGAAUGGUUUAGUGAGGACUCCUGAUUGGCGCCGCCGCCCCGACAACGGAGCAGCGGACUGCCGAAAAGUUGUUCAAACUUGAUCAUUUAGAGGAAGUAAAAGUCGUAACA
rnacentral:rRNA from 1 species